rnacentral:misc_RNA from 1 species
GAUGAAGAACAUAGUGAAAUGUGAUAAGUAAUGUGAAUUGCAGAAUCUCGUGAAUCAUCGAAUCUUUGAACGCACAUUGCGCCCAAUGGUAUUCCAUUGGGCAUACCUGUUUGAGUAUCAGAAUCCUUUCAAUUAUCAAACUUUUAUAUAUAGAGAUGUAUGUAAAGAUGUUUGGAAUAAAGUUGAGAAAAGUAGUAUUGUUUAUAAUAUUACUUUCUUAAAAACCAGAAAUAUUAUGUUUUGAUUUUUCUUCACCUCAUUUUGUAUGAAAUUUUAACAAAUGAGUAUGAGUAAAAAUAACAAUACUUUGGAUGACCUCAAAUCAGGUAGGGAUACCCGCUGAACUUAAGCAUAUCAAUAAGCGGAGGA